rfam:Lobosporangium transversale strain NRRL 3116 BCR41scaffold_39, whole genome shotgun sequence.
ACCCGCUCUAGCUUUUUGGCUAAGAUCAAGUGUAGUAUCUGUUCUUAUUAUUCUAAUCGAAUAAUAUGGCGAUUACGAUCGCCAAUCGAUUAUUUUUAUUUUUGAUACUCGCUAGCCCAGCUCUGGCUCGCUAUCUGGGCCGGCACUGGUGUCCUCGGUAUUGCACUACCUCCGAGUUGUACGCCGAACCUCU